AUACUUGCCUGGCAGAGGAGAUACCAUGAUCACCAAGGUGGUUUUGCCGGAGCAAGACUUAAUCCACUACACUCUGGAUAUGCUGAUCCAUGCAAUUUCCCCAAAUUCAGGAAAUUUGGCUUCAUAAUUUGUAGUAGUGGUGUACUGCAUUUGCUCUCUCCUC